AUUGAACGCUGGCGGCAGGCUUAACACAUGCAAGUCGAGCGAGCGGCGGACGGGUGAGUAAUGUCUGGGGAACUGCCUGAUAGAGGGGGAUAACUACUGGAAACGGUAGCUAAUACCGCAUACCAUCAGCUUAUACCAUAUGGGAUUAGCUAGUAGGUGGGGUAAUGGCUCACCUAGGCGACGAUCCCUAGCUGGGCUGCGAGGAGGACAAGCCACACUGGAACUGAGACACGGCCCAGACUCCUACGGGAGGCAGCAGUGGGGAAUAUUGCACAAUGGGCGCAAGCCUGAUGCAGCCAUGCCGCGUGUAUGAAGAAGGCCUUCGGGUUGUAAAGCACUUUCAGCGAGGAGGCGUUACCCGCAGAAGAAGCACCGGCUAACUCCGUGCCAGCAGCCGCGGUAAUUC
rnacentral:rRNA from 1 species